rnacentral:tRNA from 1 species
GUGGCACAGUGGUUAAAGCCUUUGGCUGCUAACCAAAAGGUCAGGGGUUCAAACCCGUC